AUAGCGUAUAUUAAAGUUGUUGCAGUUAAAAAGCUCGUAGUUGAACUUCAGACCUGGCUGGGCGGUCAGCUUAACAGCGUGUACUGUCUGGCUGGGCCUUACCUCUUGGUGAGCCGGCAUGCCCUUUACUGGGUGUGUUGGGGAACCAGGACUUUUACCUUGAGAAAAUUAGAGUGUUCAAAGCAGGCCUAUGCCCGAAUACAUUAGCAUGGAAUAAUAAAAUAGGACGUGCGGUUCUAUUUUGUUGGUUUCUAGAGUCGCCGUAAUGAUUAAUAGGGAUAGUUGGGGGCAUUAGUAUUCAGUUGCUAGAGGUGAAAUUCUUGGAUUUACUGAAGACUAACUAUUG
rnacentral:rRNA from 1 species